CUGGGGUUCUCCCCAACGAAGAAUUGCUCUGUCUCUGGGUGUUGCAGAUUUAGGACUACAGCAAACACCAAGGCAAGGAUGAAUCUUAUUGCCCAUCUUCAAGGUUUGCAACCUGAUAUCAUAGGGUAAAUAUAGGGAAGAACUGAAGCCUGUGCAUGAAGACCCUCCCACCAGAGAUGCCACCCAGGUGAGCCUGAGGACCCAGCAGACACUGCAGGAGAGGACUGAAGAGAAUGAAGGCAGGAGCUUCCACCUGAGGUUCCCUGAGAGCCCAACUAGCCUGGCCUGCAGCCCAGAGAUGGUGGUGUCUGUUGCUAGCUUAAUUAAUUUAUUAAUGGAUUUAUAAGGUACUAAAAAGGAGAAGUGACCAAGAAAUCA